UUUAAUUCUUGAAUAUAUGGAAAAGUCGAAAAACUGUGACUGUGCUAACUGGAUUAGUUAUAACUAUAAUCUGGUGACCAAAUCUGAGCAGCAUGCUUGCAUUUUCCCAGGGGCUGUAUAAAUCAGUUCUGUGUGAUUAGAGCAGUGCCUAAAGCUGUUGAAGGCCAGGUUCCCCUAAAGCCAUGAACAUUUUCAUACUAAAUGCACUUCCCGGCAUAAGUCGUGAUGCCUUGAAAUCAGUCUCAUUCAUGACUUUUCCCUCUACUGCCUGUGUUUUCAAAGGCCUUCGCUCCUGCUCUGUUAGAAUGUGUGUUAUAUCAUCUCCCCACACCAGACUCUGAACUCACCAAGAAAACUGGGAUGUCUUACUACUACACUUUAUAUUUCCCUUCCACCUGGGCAGUGCCUGGCAUGUAGAAGGCACUCAACUAUGUUCUUUGUACUCAGUUGAUUGGAGGCCAUCCCAGGACAGCAGGGCCUUGUUGACUCAUCUUUGCCUUUAGAGUAGAGCCUAGCACAGUGGCGCCUUUUCAGUAAGGCUCAAUGGGUAUUUACUUUAUGAACAAAAGGAAACACAGGCAGACAUUUAUUUAUUUGCCAUGAUACAUAUAAAUGUCAGGUUGAUAAUCUGAUAAAAAUCAAGAAAACAAGGAUGAAGAGCUAAGUAACACCCCCCCACACACACACACACCCACUACGUAGAGAUCAAGCUGGAAGCCAUCAGAAGCAGGUUCCAAUUUGCCUUUUACAUGUCUGAAUUAAUUUUUUAUUGUGGUGAAACACACAAAAACAAAAUUUACUAAUUUAACCAUAUUAAAGUAUACAAUUCAGUGGCAUCAGGUACAUCCACAAUGUUGUGCAACCAUCCCCACUAUCUGGUUCCCAAAUAGCACAAUGUUUUUGUAGUUUGUAACACAGCUGUUUUAUUACACCCAGUGGGUGAGGAAUCAAGUGUACUAUAAAUACAAUUCAGAGCUUAAGAAAUAUAACGGAAUUAAGUCACAAAACUCUUCACUAAAUUUGAAAAAAACUACUCCUUUCACUCUAUCCUCAUAUUAAAUUGUAGCCUGAUGAGACCUGUUGGCAAAAAAGAGGAUAGUAUAGGGAGAAAUAAUACAGGGUAGGAAACCAUUCUCUUAAGAUGCUGCUGACUUACUCUACCUGCUUGAUUGUCAGGGCCUGGAAUACAGCUGGUAACUGGGACGUAAAUGGCCCACUUACGUUCACCAGGAACAUUUAAAGGGGUCUCUACAUAUAGACUUUAGGAAGGUGACAAAAAAGGAUUGUGGAUUCCCAUAACCCACCCUAGAAUAAGAACUAUGUACAUUUAGUAAACAUUUAACUUCAGCAUAAUUAAUUAUGCACAGCAAAUACAAAAAAUACAGCGUGGUUCUGGAAUUAACUGCUGAGCUUCAUCAUUAGGAACAGGUGAAAAUUUUACCCAGGGGUUCUCAAGGGCAGUACCUGAACACUAUAACUGUCUGUGUCCCUUACCAGGUGAUGAAAGACUGAGAGUUUUCGUGUCUUUAAUUUUUUGUUUUAUGUGGUGAGG
rnacentral:lncRNA from 1 species